AGAGUUUGAUCAUGGCUCAGAAUGAACGCUGGCGGCAUGCCUAACACAUGCAAGUCGAACGAGAUUUUCGGAUCUAGUGGCGCACGGGUGAGUAACGCGUGGGAACCUACCUUUUAGUAUGGGACAACGUUUGGAAACGAACGCUAAUACCGUAUACGCCCUCCGGGGGAAAGGUCAGCCGCUGAAAGAGGGGCCCGCGUCUGAUUAGCUUGUUGGUAAGGUAAUGGCUUACCAAGGCUACGAUCAGUAGCUGGUCUGAGAGGAUGAUCAGCCACACUGGGACCGAGACACGGCCCAGACUCCUACGGGAGGCAGCAGUGGGGAAUAUUGGACAAUGGAGGCAACUCUGAUCCAGCAAUGCCGCGUGUGUGAUGAAGGCCCUAGGGUUGUAAAGCACUUUCAACGGUGAAGAUGAUGACGGUAGCCGUAGAAGAAGCCCCGGCUAACUUCGUGCCAGCAGCCGCGGUAAUACGAAGGGGGCGAGCGUUAUUCGGAAUUAUUGGGCGUAAAGGGCUCGCAGGCUGCUUGAACAGUUAGACGUGAAAUCCCCGGGCUCAACCUGGGAACUGCGUUUAAUACUAGCAAGCUAGAGAGAUAGAGAGGAAAGUGGAACUCCCAGUGUAGAGGUGAAAUUCGUAGAUAUUGGGAAGAACACCAGUGGCGAAAGCGACUUUCUGGCUAUUUUCUGACGCUGAGGAGCGAAAGCGUGGGGAGCAAACAGGAUUAGAUACCCUGGUAGUCCACGCCGUAAACGAUGUGUGCUAGAUGUUGGAAGGAUACCUUUCAGUGUCGCAGCUAACGCACUAAGCACACCGCCUGGGAAGUACGGUCGCAAGAUUAAAACUCAAAGGAAUUGACGGGGGCUCGCACAAGCGGUGGAGCAUGUGGG
rnacentral:rRNA from 1 species